rnacentral:misc_RNA from 1 species
GUAUGCGCGCGUAUAAAUGAGAGUGCAUUUGAGAGAGAGAAGAGGAUAAGAAAGGAUAGAGAGGUUGAUAGGGAGAGAGACAGACAAAGGGAAUGAGAGAGAGAGCCUGAGGUAGUCAGUGAGUUAGUCAAUAAUGCUACAACACUCCAUCCACCACAUAGAAAUAGGAGUACGUGAGAACGGCGAGGAAUUCGUGUUGGAACUCUGUAAGAAGUUGGGGCUAUAUCGAGCUGGUUACAGGGAGACGGUUCACAGUCGACAAUGGCUAGUGAGAGCCAACGAUUGGGUGCAGUUGCUGGUCACCGAAAUACGCAGCUCACCACCGGAACAAGAACAACAAAAUUGCGCUCACUCGGACCAGCAACGAGGCAAGGCGAUAGCAAAUGACCCUUAUUUAGUUCUAUGGGACCAGGACGUGGAUGAAGGUGGAAGGCCGGUUAGAAACAGCGUGUUCAACGUGUGUCUGACCGUGAAGGACAUCCAGCGACAGGUGGAAAGGUUGGAGAGAUGUGGUGCCAAGAUGGAGAAACCGGUGACGGUUAUGUCCGAUGCCGACGGAGAAGUGAAAGUAGCCAUGGUGAGAUCGUGCCUCGGCAACGUCGUGCACACGUUAGUCGAACGACAGCACUACAGCGGGUUUUUCUUACCCGGUUUCACGUCGAUCCGGCGACAGGAUGUAAAAACGGACGAUGGAUACGAGAUUCGACCGCCGACACCACCGAGGAAUCGCAUUACACAUGUUGACCACGUCACGUUCGCCGUUGAGGUGGAUACUUCACAGGACAUCAUCGCUUGGUAUGAAAAUGCGUUCGGCAUGAAACGAUUUUAUGUGAAUAGUGCAGAAGAUGAUGGAGAAGGCUUUGUGAUCAACCUUCCAAACAUGGCCCUCCGUUUGAAGGCCUUCGAGUACUGGAAGUGUGCUGAGACAGGGGUCUCCUCCAACACAACACUUCACCAUCACAGCAAUGGUGAUGUGGGUGUCAAUGAUGAUGACGAUGAUGGAUGUAAUAAAUUGCUAUUUGUCAUCGCUGAAAGCUUGAAAGACUCAGAACCAAACCAAGUGGACACAUUUCUGAAGGAUCACAAAGGUCCAGGGAUCCAGCAUGUUGCCCUUCAUACAGGGAACAUAGUCGACACUGUCAGCCGUCUGAAACAACAGGGUCUACAGUUUGUGGACCCUCCACAUACUUAUUACAAAGAGAUAAAUGGAAUGUUGAAAGAUUUAAACAUGAAGGAAUCAGUUUCAAGACUGGAAGACCUCGGUAUCUUGGUUGAUGUUGAGUAUGGUAAUGACAAAAACCACGGUGACAAAAAGGCAAAGUAUCUGCUGCAGAAGUUUACGAAACCAAUCUUUGAGGUGAACACAUUCUUCUUUGAAAUCAUCCAAAGAAUGGGAGCCACAGGGUUUGGUGCCAACAAUAUCAUAGCGCUCUGGAGGUCCCUACAAACUCUGCUACAGACAGAACAACAACAACAACAUGAUGUGUGAUACUUACACACACACACACUUUCACUCAAACACACACAUAUGAAUAUAUUAUUGCCUGUGGUGGUGGUGGUGGUGGUGGUGGUGAUGGUGAUUGUGGUGCAGAACUAAGUUAGUAGAUACUUGGGUGAGUGGGGAGGUGAGUUGAGUGUGAGAGGGGGUGGGUGUUGCGGAGUUAGGUGGUGUAAUUGAGCAUGAGUGGAGGUGUUGAGGAGUUGGAUGGUAUAACUGAGUGUGAGUGGAGGUGUUUUGGAGUUUGGUGGUAUAACUGAGUAUGAGUGGAGGUGUGUUGUAGAGUUGGGUGAUAUAACUGAGUGUGAGUGAGAAGUGUUGUAGAGUUGGGUGGUGUAACUAAGUGUGAGUGGAGGUGUUGAGGAACUGAGUGUGAGUGGAGCUUGUGUGGUUUUAGUUAUUAAUCUUUAUUAUUGUUUGUUUCAUUCAUUACUUUAUCACAAUGUACCUUGUCGUAAGACUGCUGAGUGAAGGCUAACUUAGGGGUCACACACCACUGCCAACACCACCAUCAUUACAGCAACCACCAGCACCUCAAUGUCUAAAGAAUAUUUUCCAAAAAAUAAAAUGUUCUGUUUUUGUUUUCAAA